GGCUUAUAUUUGGAAACAUACAAAUACCUUUGCUUGUCUUUAGAUAUCAAAUAACUUUUUAAUAGGUGCAUUGACUUGACGAGUUAAACUGCAAAUAUUACAUGAAUAUAACAGUGCUGGAUCAAGUAGGAGUCGAAGAGUGCAUGUUUUAAUAAAUAAGUGGAUAUUAUUAACUGUCUCAAAAUAAAGUAUCCACAUUCAAAGCGAACAUUCGUGUGUCUUAAAAAUUUGAGAAACCAUCUUAGUGUUUAAUUAACAGUAAUGGAACAAGGGUUUGAGCUUGUGUCCAGCGGCAAGUAUAACACACCAUUAUUCGACGUAAAUAU
rnacentral:lncRNA from 1 species